rnacentral:rRNA from 1 species
AAGGCCAGGAAAGAGGAUCAAGAAAGCCGAGCUUUCUUGAUGGAGGGGAGCGGCAGACGGGUGAGUAACGCGUGGGAAUCUACCUAGCUCUACGGAAUAACCCAGGGAAACUUGGACUAAUACCGUAUACGUCCGAGAGGAGAAAGAUUUAUCGGAGUUAGAUGAGCCCGCGUUGGAUUAGCUAGUUGGUGGGGUAAAGGCCUACCAAGGCGACGAUCCAUAGCUGGUCUGAGAGGAUGAUCAGCCACACUGGGACUGAGACACGGCCCAGACUCCUACGGGAGGCAGCAGUGGGGAAUAUUGGACAAUGGGCGCAAGCCUGAUCCAGCCAUGCCGCGUGAGUGAUGACGGCCUUAGGGUUGUAAAGCUCUUUCAACGGUGAAGAUAAUGACGGUAACCGUAGAAGAAGCCCCGGCUAACUUCGUGCCAGCAGCCGCGGUAAUACGAAGGGGGCUAGCGUUG